rnacentral:rRNA from 1 species
AGAGUUUGAUCAUGGCUCAGAUUGAACGCUGGCGGCAGGCCUAACACAUGCAAGUCGAACGGUAACAGGAAACAGCUUGCUGUUUCGCUGACGAGUGGCGGACGGGUGAGUAAUGUCUGGGAAACUGCCUGAUGGAGGGGGAUAACUACUGGAAACGGUAGCUAAUACCGCAUAACGUCGCAAGACCAAAGAGGGGGACCUUCGGGCCUCUUGCCAUCGGAUGUGCCCAGAUGGGAUUAGCUUGUUGGUGGGGUAACGGCUCACCAAGGCGACGAUCCCUAGCUGGUCUGAGAGGAUGACCAGCCACACUGGAACUGAGACACGGUCCAGACUCCGUACGGGAGGCAGCAGGUAGGGAAUAUUGCACAUGGGCGCAAGCCUGAUGCAGCCAUGCCGCGUGUAUGAAGAAGGCCUUCGGGUUGUAAAGUACUUUCAGGCGGGGAGGAAGGGAGUAAAGUUAAUACCUUUGCUCAUUGACGUUACCCGCAGAAGAAGCACCGGCUAACUCCGUGCCAGCAGCCGCGGUAAUACGGAGGGUGCAAGCGUUAAUCGGAAUUACUGGGCGUAAAGCGCACGCAGGCGGUUUGUUAAGUCAGAUGUGAAAUCCCCGGGCUCAACCUGGGAACUGCAUCUGAUACUGGCAAGCUUGAGUCUCGUAGAGGGGGGUAGAAUUCCAGGUGUAGCGGUGAAAUGCGUAGAGAUCUGGAGGAAUACCGGUGGCGAAGGCGGCCCCCUGGACGAAGACUGACGCUCAGGUGCGAAAGCGUGGGGAGCAAACAGGAUUAGAUACCCUGGUAGUCCACGCCGUAAACGAUGUCGACUUGGAGGUUGUGCCCUUGAGGCGUGGCUUCCGGAGCUAACGCGUUAAGUCGACCGCCUGGGGAGUACGGCCGCAAGGUUAAAACUCAAAUGAAUUGACGGGGGCCCGCACAAGCGGUGGAGCAUGUGGUUUAAUUCGAUGCAACGCGAAGAACCUUACCUGGUCUUGACAUCCACAGAACUUUCCAGAGAUGGAUUGGUGCCUUCGGGAACUGUGAGACAGGUGCUGCAUGGCUGUCGUCAGCUCGUGUUGUGAAAUGUUGGGUUAAGUCCCGCAACGAGCGCAACCCUUAUCCUUUGUUGCCAGCGGUCCGGCCGGGAACUCAAAGGAGACUGCCAGUGAUAAACUGGAGGAAGGUGGGGAUGACGUCAAGUCAUCAUGGCCCUUACGACCAGGGCUACACACGUGCUACAAUGGCGCAUACAAAGAGAAGCGACCUCGCGAGAGCAAGCGGACCUCAUAAAGUGCGUCGUAGUCCGGAUUGGAGUCUGCAACUCGACUCCAUGAAGUCGGAAUCGCUAGUAAUCGUGGAUCAGAAUGCCACGGUGAAUACGUUCCCGGGCCUUGUACACACCGCCCGUCACACCAUGGGAGUGGGUUGCAAAAGAGUAGGUAGCUUAACCUUCGGGAGGGCGCUUACACUUUGUGAUUCAUGACUGGGGUGAAGUCGUAACAAGGUAACCGUAGGGGAACCUGCGGUUGGAUCACCU